GAAUAUGAUGAUAUGUUUUGUCGCCCCAGUCUUAAUCUGCUUCCUUUACCAUGGAUGCAAUGUGGUGAUUGACAUUUUUUCUCCUGAUUC
rnacentral:snoRNA from 1 species